UCUGGCAGGAAUGACUCUCCUGCCCUGACUGAGAAUGCUGUUCAGUCCUGGGAACAUUUUGAAGCCCUUGCUUGCUCUGAGUCAGA